rnacentral:rRNA from 1 species
AGAGUUUGAUCCUGGCUCAGGACGAACGCUGGCGGCGUGCUUAACACAUGCAAGUCGAACGGGAUCCUUCGGGGUCUAGUGGCGAACGGGUGAGUAACACGUGAGCAACCUGCCCUUGGCUCUGGGAUAGCCUCCGGAAACGGGGAUUAAUACCGGACAGGACCUGCCCUCGCAUGGGGGCGGGUGGAAAGUUCUUCGGC